rnacentral:hammerhead_ribozyme from 1 species
UCAUUGCUGAGGAGUCCCACAAUAGGACAAAACGGCCGUCCAGUGC